GCCUGUAUAAGCCUAAUUUGGUAAGGCAGCAGAUUGCUAAUCUGUGAGUAAUCAGAAUUCUGGUGUGUUGGUUCGAGUCCAGCUGCAGGCG
rnacentral:tRNA from 1 species